rnacentral:rRNA from 1 species
GAUGAACGCUAGCGGCAGGCUUAAUACAUGCAAGUCGAGGGGCAGCACGAAUAGCAAUAUUUGGUGGCGACCGGCAAACGGGUGCGGAACACGUACGCAACCUUCCUUUAAGUGGAGAAUAGCCCGGGGAAACCCGGAUUAAUACUCCGUAACAUUAUAAAGUGGCAUCACUUAGUAAUUAUAGAUUUAUCGCUUAAAGAUGGGCGUGCGCCUGAUUAGGUAGUUGGCGGAGUAAUAGCCCACCAAGCCUGCGAUCAGUAACUGGUGUGAGAGCACGACCAGUCACACGGGCACUGAGACACGGGCCCACUCCUACGGGAGGCAGCAGUAAGGAAUAUUGGUCAAUGGACGCAAGUCU